UACGGAGGGGGCGAGCGUUAUUCGGAAUUAUUGGGCGUAAAGGGCGCGUAGGCGGCUGUACAAGUCAAAGGUGAAAUCCCUCGGCUCAACUGAGGAACUGCCUUUGAAACUGUACGGCUUGAGGCCGGGAGGGGGUAGCGGAAUUCCCAAUGUAGCGGUGAAAUGCGUAGAUAUUGGGAAGAACACCGGUGGCGAAGGCGGCCAUCUGGACCGCAACUGACGCUGAGGCGCGAAAGCGUGGGGAGCAAACAGG
rnacentral:rRNA from 1 species